UACAGAGACUGCGAGCGUUAUUCGGAUUCACUGGGCGUAAAGGGUGCGCAGGCGGCCAAGUGUGUGAGGCGUGAAAGCCUGGGGCUUAACUCCAGAAUUGCACCUCAAACUACAUGGCUAGAGCAUUGGAGAGGGUAGCAGAAUUCACGGUGUAGCAGUGAAAUGCGUAGAUAUCGUGAGGAAUACCAGAGGCGAAGGCGAGUCCCUGGACAAGACCUGACACUGAGGCACGAAAGCCAGGGGAGCAAACAGG
rnacentral:rRNA from 1 species